ACCACCACCAUAAAGCCAUGUCAUGUGCCGCGCCACCCGAGGUCGUUAUCGCGCAAGACCCAUCGACACGUCUUCUCAAUCCAGAUAUGGGCAAAGCCAUAGCUGCAAGCACUCCCCACGCCCCUAGGGUGCGGUCGUCACCUCCACCACCUCGAGGAAGACCGCCACCCACGCCCACCGUGGCCCGCGCCCGGUCAUCCGACGACGCGCGCCGCCACCAGCAGACCCGCCUCCACGCGCCUAGCCACCACGGGGCCGACCGAGCACAUGAGGUCCCAUGCAGCCGCCGCAGCUUCCCCACCCGAGCGCGCCACCAGCUUGGCCGAGCGCGUCAUCGCCGCCUCGCCAUCGCCUAACCGCCACAUCCCACGCUGCAGGGCACCCAACAACGAGGAGACAUGGCCCCGCUGCCACUGGCGCUAAUCGGGCUUGGCCUACGGUGCCCUCCAGCGCCGGCAAGGGAAAGGAGAGAAGGUAGGGGAGGACGGGAGCCAGCGGUGCUAGGGUCGCCCUGCCACUCGCGGGAGUGAACAAGACGGAACUAUCUGGAGGGAUACCCGGAUUAUCGCGGGAAAGAUAAGUCGACUGCUACAUCAGUGGUUGAUUCUCUACUUUGAAGAACAAGUGAAGGCGAUGAAGCUUCAGCUAGAGGUCCUCGACAAAAGUAGAGAUGAGCUCCUGAGGAUAGCCUGGAGGGAGUAAAUAAACUCGGCGGAGGGAGGGACAAGCUGGACUUCUACUUGCGAGCUCACUUACACUAGUAUUUAGGCGCCUGUGUGGGUUUGUUUUUGCGUUUGACGCGUGUGUCUCGUCUUGUCAGUCCUGUGUUGAGAUGGUUUUAAAAACUUGUAGUCUCUAUGACUCUAUCUGGCUCGAGUGCUGGGAAUAGUUC